CCUACGGGUGGCUGCAGUGGGGAAUAUUGCGCAAUGGGCGCAAGCCUGAUCCAGCAACGCCGCGUGAGGGAAGAAGUCUUUCGGGUUGUAAACUUCUUUUAUCAGGGACGAAGUAACUACCGGUACCUGAUGAAUCAGCCCCGGCUAACUACGUGCCAGCAGCCGCGGUACUACGUAGGUGGCAAGCGUUAUCAGGAUUUACUGGGUGGAAAGGGCGUGUAGGCGGCAGAGCAAGUCAGAUGUGAAAACCAUGGGCUUAACCUGUGGACUGCAUUGGAAACUGUUUUGCUUGAGUCCUGGAGAGGCAGAUGGAAUUCCUAGUGUAGCGGUGAAAUGCGUAGAUAUUAGGAGGAACACCAGUGGCGAAGGCGGUCUGCUGGACAGCAACUGACGCCGAGGCGCGAAAGCGUGGGGAGCAAACAGGAUUAGAUACCCGAGUAGUC
rnacentral:rRNA from 1 species